AAAGUGAGCUUGAGAUCUACACAUGGUCUUCUGAGCUACUCCAAAGGAUUUGGAACACAUCUCUAUCUCUUCCCUCUAUAGAAAUCUUAAGCACUAGUUGACUUAAUUGCUGCUGCUGUUCUUGACAGCCAUCCCACGUUAUUGGCAUCUAUAAUACACUGAGGCCUUCUGUUGCAACUAGGCUUCACCAAUAGCUUCUCUUAGGCUCUCUUCAUGGUGCUAAGACUCAACUUCUUUGCAUGACCCCUUUAGUCUUGGACCAUCAACUGCAACUUCAUACUUUCAAAACCAGUAGACUGCCAAGGUGAUCAUUACGUAUAACCAAGCUCUGUUGCAGCAUGAGACACAAUUUAGACUAUCUCUGGAGCACAGCUUCUUUAUGCUCUCAGAAAACACUUUCCAGAAGAUUUCACCUCAGUGCUAAUGGUUUCUUCCUAAAAACUGCUAAUUUAUCUCCAGCUAACUAGCAUCAGUUGUCCAAGUAACUCCUUCUACUCUUGAAUCUAAAGCUAGAAACACAUGGCUGAAGCUCCCGAGUUCUACUACUUGCUGGGGCUGGAACAUGGCCUCCCCCUAUUCUAUUACACCAUUUACCACUUUCUUGUUUUCCAACUCCUUUAUUGUAUAAGUAUGGCUGUCCUAGAACUUGCUCUGUAGACUGACUUUGAACUCAGAGAUCUGUAUGCCUCCGUCUUAUGAGUUCUGGGAUUAAAGGCAUACACCAAUUGCCUGGACCUGCCUAGAAUUGGUAUGUCCCAGGCUGGCCUUGAACUCAGAGAUCUGUUUGACCAGAUCUCUUGGGAUUGAAAGCAUAUACCACCACUCCUGGGCCUAAGUUGGUCUUUUUGGGUGUUUGUUUGUUUGUUUGUUUGUUUGUGGCUAUUGUGUCUCAAGACCUGGAUCAUGAGAGUAAACCAGAGGAAAGUGUUUUGCUUUUCUGAGACUUACUUUGUCAAUGCAAUUAAUCAAAAUCUCUUUACCUUAGCCUCAGGUAGACUCUUCAGACAAGAGCAAAGAGCAGCCACAUUUUAUUUUCACCAAAAUAUCAUAAGAAUACUCUCUAGGCCAGAUACUGAAAUUGUUCACCACUGAAACAUUUUGGGCCAUGUCUGCAUAGUUCAAAUCACCCUCAGCAUCAAUGUCUUCUAUAGUCCUACUAGUAUGUUUCAUUAAGCCCCACUUAAAUAAUUCCACCCCUUCUCAAAUACUGAGUUCCAUAGUACACAUUCCUCAAAACAAAAAGAUGGUCAGGCCUAUCAUAUCAAUACACCAGUCCCUGGUACCUAGUUCUGUCUUAGUUAGGGUUUUACUGCUGUGAACAGACACGAUAACCAAGGCAACUCUUAUAAGGAACAACAAUUAAUUGGAACUGGCUUACAUGGUUCAGAAGUUCAGCCUAUUAUCAUCAAGGUGGAAAACAUGGCAGUGUGUAGGCAGGCAAGUGUUGGAGGAGGUGAGACAUCAACAUCUUAAUCUGAAGGCUUCUGCUGCCUAGCAGAAGACUCUGGACUACAGUGGCCAGACAUAAGCAUAUAUCUGACACCUCAAAGCCCUACCUCCACAGUGACAUACAUCCUCUAACAAGGCUACGCCUCCUCCCAUAAAGUCAUACCUCCUAAUAGUGUCAAUUACCAUGAGCCAAGCAUAUUCAAACUAUCACACAAUCUCUGUGCAUAUCUGGAUUCCUAAUGACUUACAUCUUCUCAUAGAUAUGUAUGAAGCAUAUGAUCAGUACUAAAUGUACAUCAUUGUCAUUAUAUUGUAUCUAAGAUUUAAUGAGGUAUUCAUCUGUGAAAAUAAAUUACCAGCAUGUCAGAACAGACACAUCAGAAAGUCAACAAACAGCACACAUUUGAAAUCAUAGAACUGAAGAAGAUAACAGAGAGCUACAUGUUUGGAAAGAUUCAUAACUCACAGAUGGCCCAAUUCAACUCAGGAUUCAUUCCAUAGCCAUGUUCUGUUGUGAGCUGGGACUUUUUUUUACUGAAGGCAAGUUACAUGUGUGCAUCACUCCAGUAGGGUUCAACAAUAAGGCAUGGUACUUUAAAAGAGCUUUAAAAGACACCACAGGCUCUCCAGACAAGUUUGUUCUCUAUUUGCUUUAUGCCAAAGAAGGAAUUCUUUGGUUAAAUUCACUAUGUUAAAUAAAUAAAUAAAUAAAUAAAUAAACAAACAAAAACUUUUUUAACUACUGUAAAACCAAACCAAAUUGAUUAUGUUUCUGAUUUUUCAACCAGUUAGAAGAUGUUUUAUAACUAUAAAAUGUUUAAUUAAAUAUGGCACAGUUUUAUUUUUUCCAAAUUUCAUUUAAUAUGAGAAUCAUGUUUUCAAGUGGCAGCAAUUUUACUACCAGAAGAAUAUUCUUUUCCAGAUAACUGCUAUUUAUUUAUACUUUGAAUCCCCUUUAUGCUAGAGAACAUGUACAGAUGUAGAUGUUGUACAUGAAAUACACAGAAAUGUGAUUCCCAGUGUAUUUAUAUGUAUAUUCAGUUGUCCACAAAAUUUGUCAAAAUAUAUAGGUUUUUAGAGAAUUCUAUUUUAUUAGUUCUAAUACAGUUGUGGGGGGAUAUGUGUUUACUGGGCUGUUAUUUGUGAAAAUAUUUGUUUCUUUUUUAUUUAAUGACUGGUCACAAAUUUAUUGGUUCAAAACAUAUUCAUCUUUAAUACACUUAGAAAACCAGGAGAGUGGGUGCUGUGAAGGAUUCAAAAAGUAAGAAUAAGGUGUGAGUUAUGCCCUUUACAGUUUUCAAUCAGUCAUUCCUGGGAGCCCUGUGAGAUGUGUAUUUCAAGAAAAUAUCAUUGGACUACUUUUCUCAUGACUGCUUCUGACAAAUAGCAAUUUACAUAACUGUCAUGGGGCUGACACUCAACCUCCCGAAUAUCACAGAUGUGAGGGCUGUUUCAUCACUCAGUUGAAAUACCCAAGAAUUUGUAGAGUUCUUCACAAGCAGAGGACAUCUGCGCUGAAUGUCACAGGGGAAAUGAAAGGAGAGCUGAGCAAAAUCAUUGCUGUAGCAGCCAACGUUGUUUUCAAAGUUCAAAAUGUGGGGUCUUAAAGAACUUGAAUGCUAAAUAAAUGUAAAUGUUAGGAAGUGGCUGACCAGAAGGCUUAGCAUAAACAUGAGACUAUAGAACUUCAGUGGAUAAAGGAACUCAUAUGGGGCAAGGUUUGAAGACUCUCACCAAGAGCAGAGGAUUUGUCUAUAUUGUCUUUUAUUUUAAACGUAAAAUAAAGUAAUAUCGUCAUGGGGGGAUUCUUUCAAAUCCUAUAGCAAAGACACUAGAAGUCAAACCAAAAAACUCAAGGUAUCAGCUUUUGAGUCCUUUUAUCCUACUGGUGUUAAGAAAGCAAAAUUAUAUUUCCUUCCAUGUUCUGCUCGUGCUGUGUUCUUUCAUUCAGUAAGGAGUCAAUAGUUCCUUAUAAGAGAGGUUCAGGGCAACCAUGAAGAAGAAAACUGGAAGGGAGGCGUUAGAACUAUAGGGGUGGGCCGGUCUGAUGGCCCACGCCUUUAAUCCCAGCACUUGGGAGGCAGAGGCAGGUGGAUUUCUGAGUGGAGGUCUACAGAGUGAGUUCCAAGACAGCCAGGGCUACACAGAGAAACCCUGUUUUGAAAAACCUGUUU
rnacentral:lncRNA from 1 species